rnacentral:rRNA from 1 species
GAGUUUGAUCAUGGCUCAGAUUGAACGCUGGCGGCAGGCCUAACACAUGCAAGUCGAGCGGUAGCACAGAGAGCUUGCUCUCGGGUGACGAGCGGCGGACGGGUGAGUAAUGUCUGGGAAACUGCCUGAUGGAGGGGGAUAACUACUGGAAACGGUAGCUAAUACCGCAUAAUGUCGCAAGACCAAAGAGGGGGACCUUCGGGCCUCUUGCCAUCAGAUGUGCCCAGAUGGGAUUAGCUAGUAGGUGGGGUAACGGCUCACCUAGGCGACGAUCCCUAGCUGGUCUGAGAGGAUGACCAGCCACACUGGAACUGAGACACGGUCCAGACUCCUACGGGAGGCAGCAGUGGGGAAUAUUGCACAAUGGGCGCAAGCCUGAUGCAGCCAUGCCGCGUGUAUGAAGAAGGCCUUCGGGUUGUAAAGUACUUUCAGCGGGGAGGAAGGCGAUAAGGUUAAUAACCUUGUCGAUUGACGUUACCCGCAGAAGAAGCACCGGCUAACUCCGUGCCAGCAGCCGCGGUAAUACGGAGGGUGCAAGCGUUAAUCGGAAUUACUGGGCGUAAAGCGCACGCAGGCGGUCUGUCAAGUCGGAUGUGAAAUCCCCGGGCUCAACCUGGGAACUGCAUUCGAAACUGGCAGGCUAGAGUCUUGUAGAGGGGGGUAGAAUUCCAGGUGUAGCGGUGAAAUGCGUAGAGAUCUGGAGGAAUACCGGUGGCGAAGGCGGCCCCCUGGACAAAGACUGACGCUCAGGUGCGAAAGCGUGGGGAGCAAACAGGAUUAGAUACCCUGGUAGUCCACGCCGUAAACGAUGUCGACUUGGAGGUUGUGCCCUUGAGGCGUGGCUUCCGGAGCUAACGCGUUAAGUCGACCGCCUGGGGAGUACGGCCGCAAGGUUAAAACUCAAAUGAAUUGACGGGGGCCCGCACAAGCGGUGGAGCAUGUGGUUUAAUUCGAUGCAACGCGAAGAACCUUACCUACUCUUGACAUCCAGAGAACUUUCCAGAGAUGGAUUGGUGCCUUCGGGAACUCUGAGACAGGUGCUGCAUGGCUGUCGUCAGCUCGUGUUGUGAAAUGUUGGGUUAAGUCCCGCAACGAGCGCAACCCUUAUCCUUUGUUGCCAGCGGUCCGGCCGGGAACUCAAAGGAGACUGCCAGUGAUAAACUGGAGGAAGGUGGGGAUGACGUCAAGUCAUCAUGGCCCUUACGAGUAGGGCUACACACGUGCUACAGUGGCGCAUACAAAGAGAAGCGACCUCGCGAGAGCAAGCGGACCUCAUAAAGUGCGUCGUAGUCCGGAUUGGAGUCUGCAACUCGACUCCAUGAAGUCGGAAUCGCUAGUAAUCGUAGAUCAGAAUGCUACGGUGAAUACGU